AUGGCGAAAAAACGGAUGUCAACUCUCUUCUUCUUAUCCUCCAAAAUUCUUUCAUCUUCUAAUUCGUUUCCAACCUCUUCCAUUCCUUCUUCACCUACUGUAUACAAAUUCACUAAGUCCAUGAUGGAAGAGAACAUUGAAAACGCAGAGUUAAUCAUCAGAAGAUGGGAUCCAAACUCCUCAUCAACCUCCCUCUUCCAACACAGAGACGAAGCAAGAUGGGAUCCAAACUCCUCAUCAACCUCCCUCUUCCAACACAGAGACGAAGCAAGAGAAUUCUUAAAAAGUGUCAAACGUCUUCGCCGAGCAAUGCACUUUUUAGUAUCAGAACAUUCAGCCUCUAAUAAGCUUGUACUUGCUCAAAACCUUAUGAUAAUCGCCAUGAAAAGACUUGAAAAAGAAUUGUAUCUGAUACUCUCAUUUCAGCGUGAUCAACUUGACCCUGAGUCUGUUUCAGGUCUAUCCUCAGAUGGCUCGAGCAAUCUUGAAAGCAAAGAAGAGAAAGGUUCUGAAGAACAGAUCACUACGAGGUCUGAUCUGAAGUCAAUAGUUGAUUGUAUGAUAAGCUCUGGGUACAGUAAAGAGUGCGUCAAAGUGUACAAAUUAUUCAGAAAAUCGAUAGUAGAUGAAGGACUAUACCUGCUUGGAGUUGAAAGGUUCAGGUUUUCUCAAAUUCGAAAAAUGAAUUGGGAAGCUCUUGACCAUCUAUCUGAUAAAGAACUGGCUCAAUGCAGUAAAAAUUGCAGUGAAAACAUUAUUUACUGCAGAAAAAUCUCUCUGCUAUUACGUUUUUUCUGCAUCUCAGACAAUUAGAGAAUCAUGCUUCACUGAGAUUACUGAAGAAAGUGCAACAAAUUUAUUCAGAUUUCCUGAACUCAUUUCCAUGUGCAAGAAAUCACCAGAAAGAAUUUUCCCAUUAAUGGAACUCCAUGAAGGACUCUCUAGUCUUUGGGCAGAAAUUGAAUCAACAUUCAACUCUGAAUCAACUUCAGCAAUUAGAUUACAAGCCAUUUCAUCACUGCUCAGGCUCCGCGACUCAGUCUGUGCUAUUCUAUCUGAUUUUGAAUCAACGCUCCGCGACUCAGUCUGUGCUAUUCUAUCUGAUUUUGAAUCAACGAUUCAAAAGGACUCAUCAAAAACUCUAGCUGUUGGUGGUGGGAUUCACACGUUGACUCGAACUGCAAUGAACUACAUUUCUUCACUUACAGAUCAUAGAACGACUCUAUCUGAUAUUUUUGCAGAUUCUUUCCCAACAGGGAAUCAUGCAUCAUUGCCUGAAUCUUAUUUUGAGAGUCCUCCAAUGUCUGAUGAUGGUUCUACACCAGCUGUCUCAGUUUGCCUGGCUCGGCUCAUACUAGUUCUUCUAUGCAAGCUUGAUCGCAAAGCAGAAGCAUAUAAAGAUGUGUCUUUAUCAUAUCUGUUCAUGGCAAACAAUCUUCAAUUCAUUAUUCAAAUGGUGACCACAACUCGCCUUAGAAUCCUUCUAGGUGAGGAUUGGGUUUUGAAACAUGCCAAGAAAGUUAGAAAAUAUGCGUCCAACUAUGAAACAAUGGCUUGGACUAAAGUCUUCCUAUCUCUACCAGACAAAAAUUUCCCUGAUUUACAACCUGAAGCAGUGAAGGAAUGUUUUCGAAGGUUCAAUGCAGCUUUUGAAGAAGAACAUAAAAAACAAACGUCAUGGAUUGUAUCAGAUGGGAAGUUAAGAGAUGAAUUGAAGGUAUCAAUAGCAAAGAAACUUGUACCAGCUUAUAGAGAAUUUUAUGGCAAGUAUUUGGUGUUACUGAAUGGACAAAAGAAUUUGGAAAUGUUGAUAAGGUUUUGUCCAGAUGAUUUGGACAACUACCUAUCUGAUCUAUUUCAUGGUGUUGCAAUUUCAGAUAGUUCAUCAUCACCAUCAUCAUCAUCACCACGAGGAUUUAUGCCAAGGUGAAAUGAUAGAGAAACAUUAUUGUAAAUGCAAGGCAAA